GACGAACGCUGGCGGCGUGCUUAACACAUGCAAGUCGAACGGAGUGGCGAACGGGUGAGUAACACGUGGGUGACCUGCCCUGCACUUCGGGAUAAGCCUGGGAAACUGGGUCUAAUACCGGCUAGUGUGGGAUGGGCCCGCGGCCUAUCAGCUUGUUGGUGGGGUGAUGGCCUGCCAAGGCGGCGCCGGGUAGCCGGCCUGAGAGGGUGGACGGCCACAGUGGUCCUGAGACACGUGCCAGAGGCCUACGGGAGGCAGCAGUGGGGGGGGUUGCGCAACGGGCGGAGGUCUGGUGCAGCGCCUCCGGGUGGGGGAUGUCGGCCUACGGGUUGGAAAGGCCUUUCACCUACGAAGCGGUAGAUGGAGAAGAAGCACCGGCUAACUACGUGCCAGCCGCCGCGGUAAUAC
rnacentral:rRNA from 1 species